rnacentral:sRNA from 1 species
CUUCUUCGAUUUGCUGCGGACAAAUAAAGUGAAUGUGCGAGUCGAUACCGCCCGCGGUUAAAAUUGAUCCUUCCCCUGCUAAGAUCUCUGUCCCCGGUCCAAUCACAAUCGUCACUUCUGGCUGCACAUCAGGGUUGCCGGCUUUGCCUAUGGCUUGAAUACGCCCAUUUUUAACCGCCACGUCUGCCUUAACGAUACCCCAGUAAUCCAAUACCACUGCGUUGGUGAUAACCAGAUCUGGCGUUUCGGCGCUUGGGCGUUGACUUUGCCCCAUGCCAUCACGAAU